rnacentral:rRNA from 1 species
AACGAACGCUGGCGGCAGGCCUAACACAUGCAAGUCGAACGGAUCCUUCGGGAUUAGUGGCAGACGGGUGAGUAACGCGUGGGAAGCUACCUUGUGGUAGGGAACAACAGUUGGAAACGACUGCUAAGUACCCUAUGAGCCCUAUGGGGGAAAGAUUUAUCGCCAUGAGAUGUGCCUUGCGUUAGAUUAGCUAGUUGGUAAGGUAAUGGCUUACCAAGGCGACGAUCUAUAGCUGGUCUGAGAGGAUGAUCAGCCACACUGGGACUGAGACACGGCCCAGACUCCUACGGGAGGCAGCAGUGGGGGAAUAUUGGACAAUGGGGGCAACCCUGAUCCAGCCAUGCCGCGUGAGUGAUGACGGCCUUAGGGUUGUAAAGCUCUUUCAGCA